rnacentral:lncRNA from 1 species
AGCAGAAUAUUCAGGAUUUUUUUUCUUAUAAUAUAAAUGAUGUGGAAAACUGGAGAACCAAAGAAGAACACCAAGACUAUCUAAAAGUGUUAAAUUUUUCAUUAGAAAGAAAAUGACUUCAUGACAGUUCUUAAGACAAUGAUAGAACUUGGGGAAAUAUGUAUUCCUUGAUGUUUCUAUGCAUUUGCAAUAAUAAACAAUGAAAAUAUGGUUAAAUUUUAGAAAGAGAUAGGCCUGUGGUAUUGUCACAAGGGUAUACAAAUACUCAGAAUGACUGCUGAGGCAGUGCUCUCCAUUGGUGGUGACCUUCAGAAGAGACCUGUGUUUCCACAUGGCCUAGACACCUGGAAGGCAGAGAUCCUAACAUUCCAUGACACCCCCACCUUCUAAUUCUGUUAUUGUGACUCCAGACCAUUACCUGGCACCGGGUCUGAUUUCUGGCAUUCCUAUCAGAGCCUGAGUCACAGACAGUACCUUAGACUCUAAGCUUAGGCACCUUGUGCCUUGUUUUUGUGGCUAAGGAUUCUCAGAGUUGUAGGAUGCUGACAAAGUUUAUCCCAAAGGUAAUUUAUGAAUCAGAUCUGCUUUCUUUUGACUUGUUUAAACCCUUCAUUUAAUGUAAAGAAACUUUAUUGAGGUAUAAUUUACAUACUAUAAAAUUUACCCAUUAUAAUUGUACAGUUCAAUAAUUUUUAGUAAUUUACCCAAGUAGUGCAACCAUUACCACAAUCCAUGCAUUUGUUUUUAAUUUAUUAAUUGUCUGGGUUUAUUCUCCCUAGGCUCUGAUUGUACUUUCUCCACAAGCUUCAGCAUGGCAGUAUCUCUCACCACUUGUUUUGGUCCAAGGGCAGAAAUGAGCAUCCUGGAAACCAAUCAGUACUUGCUCUCUGAACUGGAAAAGUGCAAAGAGAACUUCCGAGACCUCACAGAGAAAUUCCUGACAUCCAAAGCUACUGCCUACUCCCUGGCCAAUCACCUGCAGAAAUAUAGAUACAUGAUCCCUUAAUUCAGGCUCAGGCUGAAGAACUGACCCACUUACGACAGAAGAUACAAGAAGGGAGAGGUGUCUGCUACCUUUUCACCCAGCAUGUGAAGAACACAGUCAAGUCUUUUGAGGGCCUUCUCAGGAACACUGGCAUUGCCUACUACCAGAGACAGAGAUUCUGUGAGCAAAUGGUACAAGGAAGCCAGCUAACAGAGAUCCUUGUCAGAAAACUUGCCACAGAAAAUCACAAUGGUAAGAAAAUGAAGACAGGCAAAAGCCACUGGCUCCCAGGCACACUUUACUCCCAGUCAAAAGUGGACUGUAUACUUCCUCUUUGAUGUGAUGGUCCCUUUGGUUUUGGUGCCUCUUCCAUGAGCUUCAGAUCAGAACUAGCUAUGUGGUUCCAGGCUGCCCUGGUUUAAUCCCUUGUCUUGCCUACUUCACCUGGCUCAAGAGGGAAGUCCAGGAGGAAGAAAUGGAUGAAGUCCUGGAGGACUCACUAGAUGAACAGUAUUUGACUCAUUCCAGCUGCCAUGACUCCCACCAGCUUCCCAGCAGCAAUGCCUUCCUCUUUGAUGCACAGGAAGGCCCCUCGGCUGUGGAAAUAGCCAAAGAUGAGAUCCAGAGCCAGUGGCAGCACCUGAAAGAGAUCCUUUUCAUCAACAACUGCCUGUGAGAAAAGCUAGAACAUCAUCACAGCAGCUUUGACGAAGAAAAUGGAUGCACCUCUAACCUCUACAGGCAAAUCAUAGAUUCCAUUGUCCAGCUGUAAAAUGAAAACAGAGUUCUCAGAGAAGAAUACCGGAGACUCCCCCGACUUGCCUGAAUCAAAUUUCCAGAGGUAAGUGGUGAAAGGCUACAAUAUGAAGUCACUCUCAGAUGGGUCCCUUCUCUUGCCACACUCCACUGUAGAAAUAAAAGAGGACGGGGAGGCCAGAGCUGCUCAAAACCUUAUAACCCACAAUUCUCAUAGUCAUUCUCAACUUAGAGAGGGCUGCUUUCUAGACACACCCCCUCCAGGCCCCCAGACUGCCAGGCUCCAGGAAUAAGUAGCUCUAAGAAAUACAGUAUUUCGAUGCGAGCCACACCCCACUAUUGCAAAUUGGAGAAGAGAAGGACAAACUUAAAAGGUGAAAAGAUUUAACAGAACAACAGGGUGAAACCCCAUCUCUAAUAAAAAUACAAAACUUAGCUGGGCGUGGUGGCAUGCACCUGUAGUCCCAGCUACUCAGGAGGCUGAGGCAGGAGAAUCAUUUCAACCCAGGAGGCAGACGUUGCAGCGAGCCAAGUUUGCACCACUGCAUUCUAGCCUGAGUGACAGAGCAUGACUCCAUCUCAAAAAAAAAAGAAAAAAAGAAAGACAGAAAAGAUUUAAGAGAACAAUUAUUUUAAUUGAAUACAUUUUGUCAAGAUUAAAUCAACUUUCCCCUAGAAUACUGAAAGAAUAAGCAAUCAUAAUUUAGAUUCUAAGUUACUGGCCUUUGAGAAAGUGUGAAAUCCAAAAAGAUGCCAUGAGCCAAAAAAGAGCAAAAGUCCUAAUUUUCAAACUGAUGAAAAUAAAGUACUAAAUAAUUGAAAUCAUCGUAGUUCAUCUUGGUCCUUGGCAAAAUAAAAAUUUAUUGAUUGAAAUUAUAAUAUCCUAGCUACCUUUUUGUGCCUAGCUCUUACCACUGAGGAGAAAAACCAAACACAAACAAAAGUAUGUUCAAAUUGGCAAAAAUGUUUACAAACCUGCAAAAUCUCUUCAGCCUAUCCCUUAAACUGCAGACUUGGUAUUUACUAAGCUCUGCUGUGUACAAUACCCACCUUAAUAUCCAUUCUUGCACAAGUUCUGUUAGGUAUAAGCCAAAAUCACAUGGGAUUUUUUUUUUUACCCUCUCAUGCCUAUGUUUGCUUUUGCUUCCAAAGACCCUUCUGAGUAAGGACUGUCCUCAGACUACUGGAGUCACUUAGUCACAAGCUUGCCUGAGGCUCAGAGCUGGCAAUACCUGGCAGUUUAUGUCAAUCCCACAUGCAACCCUGCCUGCAAAGUAUUUACCCAUGAUUGACAGGUGCAGGUGUAUGAAAGCCCAGCUCCUUGACUUGAGGGGUGCGUUUGUGGUGAAUUAGCUUUGGGAAAAGGGAAUCCAGAGGCCAACUUUGUAAAAAUCCAGAUAGGUAAAUGGAGAGAAAUCUUUGCCUUGGAAGUCCAAUUGAGAAAGAUAGUGAUUUACUUCGGACUGUGAAAGGAGAGACUAAAAUCUUUACUUUCUCAUGGGAAAGAAGCCUAUGGUGAAAGAGAAACAAAGAAAAUGGUGGGAAAUAGGGUAGGUCUACUCAGUAGCUUUAAACCAUUCUGUCAUAUUAUAAAGCCUGGUAAGGUUUUAACUAACACAAGUGCCUGGACUCUACACAUAGAUAUUCUGAUUUAAAUGCUUCCAGGUGGGUGGAAGACACCAGUAGUCUUAAAAAGCUCCCAAGUAAUUUUAACAUGUAGCUAAAGAUGAAAAGGACAAUCUAUCUACUAGAAUGUCAAGUCGUCAGCAUAGGAGUGUCCCAAAUGUGCAGCUACCUCAUAGAAAAGGCUUAACCCCACCCAUUGAUGGAAUUCGCCUUCCUCUCUCCAUGGUCUUGUUUGCAUAGCAUGGAAAAAAAGAGAAGAGAAAAAGAGGUAGAUGGAUAGAUUGAACCUAUAAUUUGCCAAUGUGGAGCAGUUUCUCAAACUUUUCUGACCACAAGAUGCAGUGAGAAAUACACAAUUUUUUGUGAUCAGUUUUUAAAAAAUAUUUUAUUAUGUGUAAUCCACCCUUCCUGGUAUUUAAAUAAAGCCUGUAGUAGUAAGCAGUCCACUAUAUUGAUUUCACAACCCAUAAGUUGUUCAGAAUUGCAAUUAGAAAAUUUUUAAUUUUGGCCAGGCGUGGUGGCUCGCACCUGUAAUCCCAGCACCUUGGGAGGAUCACCUGAGGUCGGGAGUUUGAGACCAGCCGGACCAACAUGGAGGAACCCUG